rnacentral:tRNA from 1 species
AAAGAAUUAGUUUAAUUUUAUAAAACUUUAAUUUGUCAGGUUAAUGACACUGUGAAGUAUUCUUUU